rnacentral:rRNA from 1 species
UACACGCUGUGACUAGCAUAUCAAUAAGCGGAGGAAAAGAAACUAACAAGGAUUCCCUCAGUAACGGCGAGUGAAGCGGGAAGAGCUCAAAUUUGAAAUCUUGAAAGGUCACCUUUCACGAAUUGUAGUUUAAAGAAGUGUUUUCUGUUACGAUCGUAAUAUAAGUUCCUUGGAAUAGGACAUCACAGAGGGUGAGAAUCCCGUCUAUGAUUGCGAUUUGUAGCUUUGUGAUACACUUUCAAAGAGUCGGGUUGUUUGGGAAUGCAGCCCAAAACGGGAGGUAAAUUUCUUCUAAGGCUAAAUAUUGGCGAGAGACCGAUAGCGAACAAGUACCGUGAGGGAAAGAUGAAAAGAACUUUGAAAAGAGAGUUAAAUAGUACGUGAAAUUGUCAAAAGGGAAGCGUUUAACACCAGUGUUGUUUUCUGAAAAUCAACCUCUGUUAGCUUUAUGCAUGUUUGUUUAGACCUAAUCAGCUAUCUUGCAUGUUCUAUUGUUUGCAGUGGUGCACUUUUCAGUUUACAGGUCAACAUCAGUUUUUUUUACCGUAAAAAAGUUAAAGAAAGGUAGCUCAUGGCUCCGGUCGUGAGUGUUAUAGUCUUUUUCCUAUGCGGUAGGAGAGACUGAGGUCUGCAGUGUAGGCUAUUUGGCUAGAUACUCAGGUGCUAUGUGAUACCAUUUCAUAAACAACUUGUUGAUUAUGUUUUGUCUAUUGCAUACUCGCUUGUACUAUCAUACCUACGCUUAGGAUGUUGAGUAGCGACAUACGCAC